ensembl:lncRNA
CCACAGAGUCAUGUGUGGAAGAGUGCAAAAGGUCUGUUUGUGUGCUAGAGAUUCGAAGAGUCCAGUGGAAAGUGUGAAGUCCAUUGUACUGUGCAUGAGUCUGUUAUCAGAAGGCAAAAGGAUCUUUAAUAGAAGGCUGAAGAGUCCGUGCUGGAAACCAGGAGACAACGUCCAAGAUGAAGGUGAACACUGGAGCCCCUCUGAAGAAACAAAAAAAGUGAGAGUUUCUCAUGCACAGAAUGUGCAUUAGUGGUGAUGGAAUUUCUUCUAGGAGACAGAGAAACCCACAGUAAUGGAUUAAAAGAUCAGGAGACCCUGCUUUCUCUUCCUGUCUGUCUUACACUAUAAAUAAAGAGCGUGCUGGAUUCCAGGCAGUCAUUAGCUCAUCAGGCUGCGGUUCCACCUGGUCCCAGCUUUCAAGCAUCAAUUUUGAGUGCAAUUUUGAAGAAAAGAGGGAAGAUGGGAGAAGUGAAUAGUCAGCUAUAUUCAUGGUGUUGAAGAAAGAAUUUGGUUUGCUGGGAUACAGCCUGUGAUAACAGAACAAGGCCUGGAAAGAAACAGGUUAUGUCUGGCUGGAGAGUGAUUGGCAUUAACAAGGAAUAUUACCACAUAGGUAUGAGAGAGAAGAGAAAGACUCAAGAAAAAUUGAAACCAAGUGAGACUCAGGGACUGGCACAGCAAUGCAAGUCUGGUCUUUUGAUCAAUAUAGAGUUAGUACAUGAUUGCCCUUGCCUCUUCUCAACGUGGAAUUCAUACUGUCAGUCUUCACAUUUCAUUUAAAUUAAGGAAUCAAGAAAAAUUCUUAGGCUUUCCAGGGGGACACAUGAACUACUUCCUUUCUAACAUAGAUGUAAGAACUUUCCAGCAGGAUUCCAAGUUUAAUAUGCCACAAACACAUACAAAGAUAGCAGUUUCCCUGAGCUUUUCUCCUUUAGAAAUUAGUAGAUGAUGAACAGUCAUCAAUAUGUGAGUGCCUAACAAAUUGAUAAACCCAUUCAUAACCAUAAAUCCUAAACAAGGAACAAAGAGGAAAAAAAUAUCUAAUGGUUAUGGAGACUGAAAAAGACAGUCAAUUUGUAGAAAGAACAUAAACAUCCAGCAGACUCUGUGUGUGUGUGUGUGUGUGUGUGUGUGUGUGUGUGUGUGUUUAAUUCCUCUAUAUUGAAAAUAAGUGAAAUUUAAACCUUGGUGGUAAUGUCAAGCAGCUCAAAUUGUGACAGAAAAUUUCACAUCUUUCUGAAAGCAGAAGACAAAGUCCAGUGCCAAUAAUGAUCUCUUAAGAUGGAGAGAAAAUCUUGAUUAAAAACAAGUUCCCAGAAAUACUUAAUUGCAUGCACAAAUUUUCCAUAAGACCAUGCUCUUCCCUGAACCAUCUCUAUCUGAAGUAAACUGAGAGCAUGUACAACUAAGACUUGGAGAACAACACAGACACCUGAAUGGCUAACCAUGUUAACCAUGUUAACCAGUCUAACCAUGUUAAUUGCCUUUAAAAAUUUCUAUAUGUAUAUACUUUAGGGCCUGUGACAUAAUCUGGAAUCCAAACAAUGUUUACAAUGUCCAGAAUGUACAAUACAGGUACUUCACAUUUAAAAAUCCAGGAAAAUGUGAUAGAACCUUAAAAGAAAAGUCAGUCAUUGGUUCCCAACACCAAAUUAACAGAUGUACUAAACUUAUAAGAUAAACACUCAGGACAAGCAUUUUAAUUCAACCUAGUGAGAUAAAUCCAAAUGAUGUCAUUUGAAUGAAAAAAAUAAUCUCAUUAAAGGGAUACAAAAUAAAAGAAUAGAAAUUUUUAUGUAAAGAAUUGAAUUUCUAAAAAGAAAUUCCCUGAAUUGUCUCAGUAGCAAAAAAAAAUAAUAAUACAAGGAAGAGCCAAUGAAGAUUAUGCAAUCUGAAAGAGAGGAAAAGAGACUGAACAAAACAAAGAGAUCAUCAGAGAACUGAGGGAAAGUUUCAAGAAGUAAAAUACGUUAAGAUCUGGCCAUGGAGUUCAAGCUGGCCUUGGACUGACUGUAUAAUCAUAGGCUGGCCUCCAACUCACAGCAAUCCUCCUGUCUCAGCCUCUCAAGCACUGGAUUACAGGAAUGUGCCACCAUGCUCAGCGAAUUUUCUGUUUUUAUCCAAGUUUUCAGUUUGAUUUAUUUUAUCUACCUCCUCAACAUUGCUUUCUAACUCUUUUUUCUCUUAUAUUAAGCUCUUUUCUUUCCCUCAUUGGUUCUUUUUUUCUUUUUUAAAUUAGCAUCACUGAUGUUUCCUGUAGAUUCAUUUUUUUUAAGUCUUUUAUUUGUUUUUCAUUCAGUUUGUUUUCUAUUCCUUGCAUGUUUUCUGUUUUUCCCAAAUUGUUGUUUUUAUUUUCUUCUCUUAUAUAACUUUUUUACAAUGUUUAAUGAGCUUUCAUUAUAUGCUUAGAUUUUAAAUGUAGGCCACUAAAAAAGCAUGCACAUGUUUGUACAACUUGGUAUGAAUAAAUAUGUUACUGUGGAAAAAAUCUAGCUGGCUGAUGCCUCAGAUCAUCCCUGAUACAGGAAACUAGAAUUAUUUUUCUUUUCUCUUUGGUCUGGUUAAACUUCUAUAAGGAUUUCUGGUCUUUCUCCUGAAGGUUAAAUGUUUGGCAGCUUAAGAUCCCUGGGUAGUUACCAACCAGGAGCUUUCAAACUACCAUAUUUCCUUUAUGUUUUUUAGUUGAUAUCUUUAAAAUAUUUUUAUUAUUAUUAUAGUGAUG